rnacentral:rRNA from 1 species
CACCGCGGUUAUACGUGAGACCCAAGUUGACAGUUCUCGGCGUAAAGAGUGGUUAAGGAAUACCAUAAAAUAAAGUAGCACUCCAUCCACACUGUUAUACGUCUUUGAUGGACAGAAAAUCGCCCACGAAAGUGACUUUAUACACACCUGAAUCCACGAAAGCUAUGGCA